AUCCAGCUGACGAGUCCAAAACUGGACAAAACACGCAUCCUGGAU
rnacentral:hammerhead_ribozyme from 1 species